GUUAGUUUCUUUUAUCAUUGUUCCUAGCAAGUUUAAUCUAACUGCGUAAUAAAAGCAUUCAUUCUAAUUAAUAGAGAUUACAUUGUAAGCUGCUUGGCUGUGCGAGUGCUACUGAGUUGUUUAACAAAGAGCCAAUUCAUGCAGUGUACCUGUAGAUAGCUGGUGGCCUGCCUGACUUAGUACACAUUAAUGCUAUCAAGGGAUUGCUCAUUAGGC